rnacentral:rRNA from 1 species
ACGCUCGACACCUACAGGAGGCAGCAGUUGGGAAUAUUGGACAAUGGAGGAAACUCUGAUCCAGUGACGCCGCGUGAAGGAAGAAGGUCUUCGGAUUGUAAACUUAUUUUGUCAGGGAAGAAAAAAUGACUGUACCUGAAGAAAAAGCACCGGCUAACUACGUGCCGGCAGCCGCGGUAAUCUGAGCGGGCUGGCAAGGC